GUCCUAGCCGUAAACGAUGAGCACUAGGUGUCGGCUCGAAUAGGGCCGGUGCCGUAAGAUAACUUGUUAAGUGCUCCACCUGAGGACUACGGCCGCAAGGUUAAAACUCAAAGGAAUUGACGGGGUCCGCACAAGCGGUGGAACAUGUGGUUCAAUUCGACGAUACGCGAAGAACCUCACCAAGGCUUGACAUACAGGUAGUAGUGAACUGAAAGGGGAACGAACCGUCAAGUCGGUUGCCUGAACAGGUGUUGCAUGGCUGUCGU
rnacentral:rRNA from 1 species